rnacentral:rRNA from 1 species
CAGUCGCCGCGGUAAUACGUAGGGUGCAAGCGUUAAUCGGAAUUACUGGGCGUAAAGCGUGCGCAGGCGGUUUGUUAAGACAGAUGUGAAAUCCCCGGGCUCAACCUGGGAACUGCAUUUGUGACUGGCAAGCUAGAGUGUGGCAGAGGGGGGUGGAAUUCCGCGUGUAGCAGUGAAAUGCGUAGAUAUGCGGAGGAACACCGAUGGCGAAGGCAGCCCCCUGGGCCAACACUGACGCUCAUGCACGAAAGCGUGGGGAGCAAACAGGAUUAGAUACCCCAGUAGUCCCUGUCUCUUAUAC